rnacentral:rRNA from 1 species
UACAGAGGGUGCGAGCGUUAAUCGGAAUUACUGGGCGUAAAGCGCGCGUAGGCGGCUUUGCAAGUCGGGUGUGAAAUCCCCAGGCUUAACCUGGGAACUGCAUUCGAGACUGCAUUGCUAGAGUAUGGGAGAGGGAAGUGGAAUUCCAGGUGUAGCGGUGAAAUGCGUAGAUAUCUGGAGGAACACCGGUGGCGAAGGCGGCAUCCUGGACCAAUUCUGACGCUGAGGAGCGAAAGCCAGGGGAGCAAACGGG